rnacentral:rRNA from 1 species
AAAGCCAGCUCCUCUAAAAUAGAUUAGUGGGAUCUGCUUUGCUAAUCCUAAAUGUAAUAAGAUGCUUCUACAUUUUUGGAUUUUGGUAUUGUCUCUUAGAUUCCUGCUUCUAACUGUCUUAUAGACAAUGAUGGUGCUUCUGGUCACUACUAUCAUAUUGGUGUAGGAGGCUGGGCCCACAAAAGAAAAAUUCUUGACCUCAAAUCAGGUGAGACUACCUGCUGAACUUAAGCAUAUCAAUAAGCAGAGGAAAAGAAACUAACAAGGAUUCCCCUAGUAACUGCGAGUGAAGCGGGAAAAGCUCAAAUUUAAAAUCUGGUGGUCUUUUGGCCGUCCGAGUUGUAAUUUAGAGAAGCAUCUUCCGCGCUGAACCGUGUAUAAGUCUCCUGGAAUGGAGCGUCAUAGAGGGUGAGAAUCCCGUCUUUGGCACGGAUAUCUCAGGGCUUUUGUGAUAUGCUCUCAAAGAGUCGAGUUGUUUGGGAAUGCAGCUCAAAAUGGGUGGUGAACUCCAUCUAAAGCUAAAUAUUGGCAAGAGACCGAUAGCGAACAAGUACCGUGAGGGAAAGAUGAAAAGCACUUUGGAAAGAGAGUGAAACAGUACGUGAAAUUGUUGAAAGGGAAACACUUGAAGUCAGUCAUAUUAACCAAGACUCAGCCUUGCCCUUGGCUUGGUGUAAUUCUUGGUUGAUAGGCCAACAUCAAUUUUGGUUCUUGGAUAAUGGUAAAAGAAAUGUGGCACCUUUUAUGGUGUGUUAUAGUCUCUUAUCGGAUACAAGGGUUGAGAUUGAGGAACUCAGCAUGCACCUUUUGGUGUUGGGGCUUUGCUCACAAUACAUGCUAGGA